GACGAACCGUGCGAACGUUGUUCGGAAUCACUGGGCUUAAAGGGCGCGUAGGCGGGCUCAAAAGUCAGGGGUGAAAUCCCACGGCUCAACCGUGGAAGUGCCUUUGAUACUGUGAGUCUCGAGGGGGGUAGGGGCGUGCGGAACUUCCGGUGGAGCGGUGAAAUGCGUAGAUAUCACUUGGAACGCCAAAGGUGAAAACAAUCUGCUGGGGAUCUGCUGACGCUGAGACACGAAAGCCAGGGGAGCGAACGGG
rnacentral:rRNA from 1 species